rnacentral:rRNA from 1 species
ACUCAAAGGAAUUGACGGGGGCCCGCACAAGCAGCGGAGCGUGUGGUUUAAUUCGAUGCAACGCGAAGAACCUUACCUGGGUUUGACAUGCGGGUAGUAGGGAGGUGAAAGCCGACCGACCUUCGGGAGCCCGCACAGGUGCUGCAUGGCUGUCGUCAGCUCGUGUCGUGAGAUGUUGGGUUAAGUCCCGCAACGAGCGCAACCCUUGUCGUGUGUUUCAGGUGUCACACGAGACUGCCCGGACAAACCGGGAGGAAGGUGGGGAUGACGUCAAGUCAGCAUGGCCUUUAUGUCCAGGGCGACACACACGCUACAAUGGCGCGUACAGUGGGCGGCUACCCCGCGAGGGGAUGCGAAUCUACAAAGCGCGUCGUAGUUCGGAUUGGAGUCUGCAACUCGACUCCAUGAAGGCGGAGUUGCUAGUAACCGCGCGUCAGCCAUAGUGCGGUGAAUGCGUUCCCGGGCCUUGUACACACCGCCCGU